UAGAGUUUGAUCCUGGCUCAGAUUGAACGCUGGCGGCAGGCUUAACACAUGCAAGUCGAGCGGAGAUGAGGUGCUUGCACCUUAUCUUAGCGGCGGACGGGUGAGUAAUGCUUAGGAAUCUGCCUAUUAGUGGGGGACAACAUUCCGAAAGGGAUGCUAAUACCGCAUACGUCCUACGGGAGAAAGCAGGGGAUCUUCGGACCUUGCGCUAAUAGAUGAGCCUAAGUCGGAUUAGCUAGUUGGUGGGGUAAAGGCCUACCAAGGCGACGAUCUGUAGCGGGUCUGAGAGGAUGAUCCGCCACACUGGGACUGAGACACGGCCCAGACUCCUACGGGAGGCAGCAGUGGGGAAUAUUGGACAAUGGGGGAAACCCUGAUCCAGCCAUGCCGCGUGUGUGAAGAAGGCCUUAUGGUUGUAAAGCACUUUAAGCGAGGAGGAGGCUACUGAGACUAAUACUCUUGGAUAGUGGACGUUACUCGCAGAAUAAGCACCGGCUAACUCUGUGCCAGCAGCCGCGGUAAUACAGAGGGUGCGAGCGUUAAUCGGAUUUACUGGGCGUAAAGCGUGCGUAGGCGGCUUUUUAAGUCGGAUGUGAAAUCCCCGAGCUUAACUUGGGAAUUGCAUUCGAUACUGGGAAGCUAGAGUAUGGGAGAGGAUGGUAGAAUUCCAGGUGUAGCGGUGAAAUGCGUAGAGAUCUGGAGGAAUACCGAUGGCGAAGGCAGCCAUCUGGCCUAAUACUGACGCUGAGGUACGAAAGCAUGGGGAGCAAACAGGAUUAGAUACCCUGGUAGUCCAUGCCGUAAACGAUGUCUACUAGCCGUUGGGGCCUUUGAGGCUUUAGUGGCGCAGCUAACGCGAUAAGUAGACCGCCUGGGGAGUACGGUCGCAAGACUAAAACCCAAAUGAAUUGACGGGGGCCCGCACAAGCGGUGGAGCAUGUGGUUUAAUUCGAUGCAACGCGAAAAACCUUACCUGGCCUUGACAUACUAGAAAC
rnacentral:rRNA from 1 species